GAUGAACGCUGGCGGCGUGCCUAAUACAUGCAAGUCGAGCGAACAGACGAGGAGCUUGCUCCUCUGACGUUAGCGGCGGACGGGCGAGUAACACGUGGAUAACCUACCUAUAAGACUGGGAUAACAUCGGGAAACCGGAGACAAUACCGGAUCAUACAUUGAACGGCAUGGUUCAAUAGUGAAUGGCGGUUUUGCUGUCACUUAUAGAUGGUUCCGCGUCGGAUUAGCUAGUUGGUAAGGUAACGGCUAACCAAGGCUACGAUGCGUAGCUGAGCUGAGAGGGUGAUCGGCCACACUGGAACUGAGACACGGUCCAGACUCCUACGGGAGGCAGCAGUGGGGAAUCUUCCACAAUGGGCGAAAGCCUGACGGAGCCACGCCGCGUGAGUGAUGAAGGUCUUCGGGUUGUAAAACCCUGUUGUUGGGAAAGAACAGAAGUGUAAUUAUCUAUGCACGUCUUGACGGUACCUAAAGAAUAAGCCACGGCUAACUACGUG
rnacentral:rRNA from 1 species